rnacentral:rRNA from 1 species
CAGCCGCCGCGGUAAUACGGAGGGGGCAAGCGUUAUCCGGAAUUAUUGGGCGUAAAGGGUACGUAGGUGGCCUUUUAAGCGUAGGGUAUAAGGCAAUGGCUCAACCAUUGUUCGCCCUAUGAACUGGAAGGCUUGAGUGCAGGAGAGGAUAGCGGAAUUCCUAGUGUAGCGGUGGAAUGCAUAGAUAUUAGGAGGAACAUCAGCGGCGAAGGCGGCUUUCUGGACUGCAACUGACACUGAGGUACGAAAGCGUGGGGAGCGAACAGGAUUAGAUACCCCCGUAGUCCCUGUCUCUUAUACA